UAGGGAAUCUUCCACAAUGGACGACAAGUCUGAUGGAGCAACGCCGCGCGAGUGAAGAAGGUUUUCGGACCGUAAAGCUCUGUUGUUGGUGAAGAAGGAUAGAGGUAGUAACUGGCCUUUAUUUGACGGUAAUCAACCAGAAAGUCACGGCUAACUACGUGCCAGCAGCCGCGGUAAUACGUAGGUGGCAAGCGUUGUCCGGAUUUAUUGGGUGUAAAGCGAGCGCAGGCGGAAGAAUAAGUCUGAUGUGAAAGCCCUCGGCUUAACCGAGGAAUUGCAUCGGAAACUGUUUUUCUUGAGUGCAGAAGAGGAGAGUAGAACUCCAUGUGUAGCGGUGGAAUGCGUAGAUAUAUGGAAGAAUACCAGUGGCGAAGGCGGCUCUCUGGUCUGCAACUGACGCUGAGGCUCGAAAGCAUGGGUAGCGAACAGGAUUAGAUACCCUGGUAGUCCAUGCCGUAAACGAUGAGUGCUAAGUGUUGGGAGGCUUCCGCCUCUCAGUGCUGCAGCUAACGCAUUAAGCACUCCGCCUGGGGGAGUACGACCGCAAGGUUGAAAC
rnacentral:rRNA from 1 species